rnacentral:tRNA from 1 species
AGCAGGGUGGCUUAGUGGAAAGAGCCCGGACUUGGGAGUCGGAGGACGUGGGUUCUAAUGCCAGCUCUGCCA